rnacentral:tRNA from 1 species
AUUAAGGUGGCAGAAUAGUGCAUUAGAUUUAAGCUCUAAAUAUGAAGAUUAAAUUUUUUCCCUUAAUA